UACGUAGGGUGCGAGCGUUAAUCGGAAUUACUGGGCGUAAAGCGUGCGCAGGCGGCUCGGAAAGAAAGAUGUGAAAUCCCAGGGCUUAACCUUGGAACUGCAUUUUUAACUGCCGGGCUAGAGUAUGUCAGAGGGGGGUAGAAUUCCACGUGUAGCAGUGAAAUGCGUAGAGAUGUGGAGGAAUACCGAUGGCGAAGGCAGCCCCCUGGGAUAAUACUGACGCUCAUGCACGAAAGCGUGGGGAGCAAACAGG
rnacentral:rRNA from 1 species